rnacentral:rRNA from 1 species
AGAGUUUGAUCCUGGCUCAGAAUCAACGCUGGCGGCGUGCCUAACACAUGCAAGUCGAACGCGGUUAGUAGCAAUACUGACUGAGUGGCAAACGGGUGAGUAACACGUGGGUGACCUACCUUCGAGUGGGGGAUAACGUCCCGAAAGGGACGCUAAUACCGCAUAACAUCCUGUCCUUGAACGGAUGGAGAUCAAAGCCGGGGAUCGUAAGACCUGGCGCUUGAUGAGGGGCCCGCGUCUGAUUAGCUAGUUGGUGAGGUAACGGCCCACCAAGGCGACGAUCAGUAUCCGGCCUGAGAGGGCGGACGGACACACUGGGACUGAGACACGGCCCAGACUCCUACGGGAGGCAGCAGUGGGGAAUUGUUCACAAUGGGCGCAAGCCUGAUGACGCAACGCCGCGUGGAGGAUGAAGGUCUUCGGAUUGUAAACUCCUGUUGCUCGGGACGAAAAGCCUCGACCUAACACGUCGAGGUCUGACGGUACCGAGUGAGGAAGCCCCGGCUAACUCUGUGCCAGCAGCCGCGGUAAUACAGAGGGGGCAAGCGUUGUUCGGAAUUACUGGGCGUAAAGGGCGCGUAGGCGGCCUGCUAAGUCGAACGUGAAAUCCCCGAGCUCAACUCGGGAACUGCGUCCGAUACUGACAGGCUUGAAUCCGGGAGAGGGAUGCGGAAUUCCAGGUGUAGCGGUGAAAUGCGUAGAUAUCUGGAGGAACACCGGUGGCGAAGGCGGCAUCCUGGACCGGCAUUGACGCUGAGGCGCGAAAGCUAGGGGAGCAAACGGGAUUAGAUACCCCGGUAGUCCUAGCCCUAAACGAUGAAUGCUUGGUGUGGCGGGUAUCGAUCCCUGCCGUGCCGAAGCUAACGCAUUAAGCAUUCCGCCUGGGGAGUACGGUCGCAAGGCUGAAACUUAAAGGAAUUGACGG